CCAAAAUUUACAUUUUCCCAUUUGCCCUCUGGUUCACAGUGGAUAUAAAUCCACAUAAUGCAGCCAUAGAGCCCCCUGCUCUGCCUGUCUACUGGCCGCGCACCCGGAUCAAGGCUGGGGGAGGAAAGCCUUGGCCCUGGAGGCACUAGACGUACCUGAUUGCAAGAAUGGCCACAAGUUCUUCCCCUUGUCACACUUUUGGAAUUGACUUUGCAACUUCUCUCAUCGAAAAGCAGUUUAUUUUUUCACCCUUUGACUCUGGGCUUGGUCUUGUGAAUUGCUUUGGCCAAUGGUACAAUAGCAAACAAGAUGCAAACAAAAACAGAUUGCAUGAUGGAGAUUCCCUUCUCUUGCUGUUCUUGGAAACCUGAAACUGCCACGUGAAGACACCAGGGCUGGCCUACUGUAAGAUAAGGGACAUGUGGCCUGGGAACUCCUGUCUCUCUGGCCAACAGCAUGUCAAUAACCAGACACAUGAAUGAUUCAUACUAGAUCUUCCAACCUACAGCCAACCCACCAGAUGUCUGCAGAUGUGUGAGUGAGACCCACAGAGACCAGCUGAACUAAGCAGAACUGAAGACCACUCAUCUGACACAAUGAUUGUUGUUUUAUGCCACCAGGUUUGGGGGAUUGUUUGUUACCCAGCAAAAGCAAACAGAUCUAUACUUUUUUCCCACGCCACUUUCUUCUUCCUGCUUGGAAUGCAGAUGUGAUACUGAAGGUGGGACAACCACCUUUGCAACCAUGAGGACAAAUGCUUUACAGAAAGAUGGAAGAGGCCUGGCAAAGUGAUGCUACCAUGGACUCAAUAGCUGCACAAUCCCACAAGUGUCUGCCUCCAGACUUUAUGGUUUGUGAGAAAAAUAAAACCUUGUGCUGUUAAGCCACUUGUAUCAUCCAGUUUUUAAUUACAGACAUCUGAAUCCACUUCAGGUAGUUUAAGUAAAAAGCAGUUUAUGAAAAUAUGUCACUUAGCUUAUGGAACCUCUAAAGAUCCAGAG
rnacentral:lncRNA from 10 species